GGAGUGUAGCUCAAUUGGUAGAGCACCGGUCUCCAAAACCGGGGGUCGCAGGUUCGAGCC
rnacentral:tRNA from 1 species